GUGCUCGCACUAGCAACACAUACAGGAAAAUUAGAAAGAUACAGAGAAAAAUUAGCAUUGCCCCUGCAUAAGGAUGACACACACACACGUACAUGAGGCACUCCAUACUUUA
ensembl:snRNA Gm23656 predicted gene, 23656